GUCGGCCUGGAGGGAGACGGAGCCGGUCCAUUUGGGGGAAACCCGGGGAAGGAGCACCCAUUCUCACACACAAUCCAGCCCUGACUUUGCAGCACUCAUCCCAUGGAAAGACACAGAGAAACACUAUCUGCUGUAAGCAAAGCACUUGGGUACAAGGCACGUCAAAGCUGUCAAGCUCUACUGGAAUCUACUCAGAACACGCAGAAUGCCAGCUUUUCUUCCCACUUGAUGUCACUGGGAAAGGUCUUAAAUCAGAUUAAAGGUGGUGAUGGUCUUCUCACACUCUUGUUCUCAUUCCACGGUUACAGACUUGGCCAGAUUUCUGGGGAAGUCAACCUAAAAUGACAGAAAGUAGCUGCUCAGGACCCCACAAGUCUCAGCAACACACUGUGUUUAUAAAGCCUACUCUCAGAGUACUUGACGACAAGGAGACAGGUGUUCCUGGGCACCUCCAACCAUGAGCUCCUUGAGACCUGCAUCUUGGAAGCAGUUCCUUAUUCCAGAAACUUCACUGAACUGUACAAUGUUUAGUUUAUACAAUAAAUAUUUAUGGGGCACCUGUGUCACGCAGUGUUAACACUAUUAAAAGGAUAUGAUUCAUGCUAUUAAAAACAGCUAGCUCAAUUUGUACUGUUAAAAAUUCACUUUUCUUGGAAGUAGAUGCACUAAAUUAUUGGUUAAGGGUGGGGACUGGGAAGGAAAUGUGACUGAGGAUGGUUGAUAAAGUAGCCUUCAA